UACGGAGGGUGCAAGCGUUGUCCGGAAUUAUUGGGCGUAAAGAGCGCGUAGGUGGUUUAUCAAGUCAUUUGUGAAAACUUUAGGCUUAACUUAAAGAUUGCAAGUGAUACUGAUAUACUUGAGCACAGCAGAGGAAAGUGGAAUUCCUGGUGUAGCGGUGAAAUGCGCAGAUAUCAGGAAGAACACCAGUGGCGAAGGCGGCUUUCUGGGCUGUUGCUGACACUGAGGCGCGAAAGCUAGGGGAGCGAACAGG
rnacentral:rRNA from 1 species